CCCUGGUUAGCUCAGUUGGUAGAGCGCUCCUCUGGUAAUGGAGAGGUCCCGGGUUCGAUACCCGGACCAGGCG
rnacentral:tRNA from 1 species